CUAUGCGCCUUGCCAGCCCGCUCAGGUGUGCCAGCCGCCGCGGUAAUACGUAGGGAGCAAGCGUUGUCCGGAAUUACUGGGCGUAAAGGGCGCGUAGGUGGGCGCUUAAGUCAGGUGUGAAAACUCCGGGCUCAACCUGGAGACUGCACUUGAAACUGGGUGUCUUGAGGGCAGGAGAGGAAAGUGGAAUUCCUAGUGUAGCGGUGAAAUGCGUAGAUAUUAGGAGGAACACCAGUUGCGAAGGCGGCUCUCUGGACUGUAACUGACACUGAGGCACGAAGGCCAGGGGAGCGAAAGGG
rnacentral:rRNA from 1 species